CGCGUGAGUGAAGAAGGCCUUCGGGUUGUAAAGCUCUUUUAGUCAGAAAGAAAGAAUCAUGAUGAAUAAUUAUGAUUUAUGACGGUACUGACAGAAAAAGCACCGGCUAACUACGUGCCAGCAGCCGCGGUA
rnacentral:rRNA from 1 species